AGUGAACGCUGGCGGUAGGCCUAACACAUGCAAGUCGAACGGCAGCACAGUAAGAGCUUGCUCUUACGGGUGGCGAGUGGCGGACGGGUGAGGAAUACAUCGGAAUCUACUUUUUCGUGGGGGAUAACGUAGGGAAACUUACGCUAAUACCGCAUACGACCUACGGGUGAAAGCAGGGGAUCUUCGGACCUUGCGCGAUUGAAUGAGCCGAUGUCGGAUUAGCUAGUUGGCGGGGUAAAGGCCCACCAAGGCGACGAUCCGUAGCUGGUCUGAGAGGAUGAUCAGCCACACUGGAACUGAGACACGGUCCAGACUCCUACGGGAGGCAGCAGUGGGGAAUAUUGGACAAUGGGCGAAAGCCUGACCGAGCAACGCCGCGUGGGUGAAGAAGGCCUUCGGAUUGUAAAGCCCUUUUGUUGGGAAAGAAAAGAAGCAGGUUAAACCCCCGCUGUUCUGACGGUACCCAAAGAAUAAGCACCGGCUAACUUCGUG
rnacentral:rRNA from 1 species